AGUCGUAACAAGGUUUCCGUAGGUGAACCUGCGGAAGGAUCAUUAACGCGCAGGCCGCAGACGGCCCGCCCCCGGAUGCGUCCGAGGGCGGUGCCGCCGGCCACACGCCCAUUCUUGUCUAUCUACCUGGUUGCCUCGGCGGGCCGCGCACUCGUGCCGCCCGGGGAUGUUUACCUCCCUGGACCGCGCCCGCCGGAGGAGCGAUUAAAAUCCAUGAAUACUGUUCAGUCUGAGCGUAAGCAAGUGAAAUCAGUUAAAACUUUCAACAACGGAUCUCUUGGUUCCGGCAUCGAUGAAGAACGCAGCGAAAUGCGAUAAGUAAUGUGAAUUGCAGAAUUCCGUGAAUCAUCGAAUCUUUGAACGCACAUUGCGCCCUCUGGUAUUCCGGGGGGCAUGCCUGUUCGAGCGUCAUUUCAACCCCUCAAGCGCGGCUUGUGUGAUGGACGACCGUCCCGCCCUCCCCCAUCUCGGGGAGGGGGACGCGCCCGAAAAGCAGUGGCCAGGCCGCGAUUCCGGCUCCUGGGCGAAUGGGCAACAAACCUACGCCUCUAGGACCGGCCGGCUCUCUGGCCUAGUUUCCGUCAGGGAUGAACUUCCCUACAAUCAGGUUGACCUCGGAUCAGGUAGGGAUACCCGCUGAACUUAAGCAUAUCAAUAAGCGGAGGA
rnacentral:misc_RNA from 1 species